UAGUUUGUUCAUUCAUUUUCAAAUACUUAUUUUUGCCUGCUCUGAAUCAGGUGUUGCGGAAUACAGUUUGGGCUCUGUUCUUAUGGGGCAUACCGUCUGUGGCUUGUUCCCAGUGACCAGUACCUCCACUCCCUCAGCUCCAUCAGCAAUGCUGGUUCCUGCAUACCUCCGGCUGAGGCUGCCACGAAACAGGACAACCAAAGGCCAAGUUUAUUGUUGCUGUCGUGUCUCUCAUUCUCUUCAAAAGCCAGCUGAUCUUACUAUUUGCUCCAUUUAAUGUGUGAACUUCACUGUGCAAAUGAAAUAUAUGGAAUCUGGAAUUUUCUUCAGACCAGGGACUUUUAAUUUCACCAAGUCUUAGGUAAGUUUCUGUCUUUUGUGAUAAACGUAUAUUUACAGGUAGAUUUUUUUCCUUUUCGUGGAAUAUUUUUAGAUGUUCAAUCAGUUUCUCUGAAAUUAUAGAACUUUAAAAUAACUGCAAAGAUUUGCCUUUCACUGAGUGUGAUUUUCCCCCCUUUUUUUCUCAACUUACCCGAGGUAUAGAACUAGAAGGCUAUAUAUUUUUUAAAAGGCCACCUCAGGCUGGGUAAAAGCAAAAUUUAUGGUCCUAGCUUCCUCUACAACAUAGGCAGCUUAGCUUUGCUUAAGACUAUUGUGCUUGAGGGGCGCCUGGGUGGCUUGGUUGGUUAAGUGUCCAGCUUCGGCUCAGGUCAUGAUCUCGUGGUUUGUGGGUUUGAGCCCCAUGUCAGGCUCUGUGCUGACAGCUCAGAGCCUGGAGCCUGCUUCGGAUUCUGUGUCUCCCUCUCUCUCUGACCCUCCCCUGCUCGUGCUGUCUCUGUCUCUCAAAAAUAAAUAAAAAACAUAAAAAAUUUUUGAAAAAAAAAGACUAUUGUGCUUGAGCUCCAAAUCUACAAAUCCAAGACAACUGUAAUCCAAAACCAGUAUGGUUUUCUUCUUCCCAAUAGCAGUAGCAACCAUUAUUAAGCACCUCCUGUAUGUCAGAUACAGUGUUGAUUGCUUUAUAUGUCACCUAAUUUUCAUAAUUGAGUGAAUUGUGAUUCCCAUUUUACAGAAGAGAAAAUUGAAGCUUAGAGCUACUAGCAAUUUGAACAACUAGUAAGUGGUAGAGAGAUAAUUUGGAUGCAGAACUGAUUCCAUCGCCUCUGCUCUUUUCACUACACCUUGCAGUGUCAGUGCCUUGUAUUGCCGGGAAUUGUCUUUCAGGAAUAUUGGGGCUUGCACUCAUGACCUUGGCA
rnacentral:lncRNA from 1 species